rnacentral:sRNA from 1 species
UCGAAAGUACUUGAUCGCCUCGUAGAUUGC